rnacentral:rRNA from 1 species
UUUUCCUACGGGGGGCAGCAGUGGGGGAUAUUGCACAAUGGGGGGAACCCUGAUGCAGCGACGCCGCGUGGGUGAAGGAGCGUUUCGGCGCGUAAAGCCCUAUCGGCAGGGAAGAAGGAGGACGGUACCUGACUAAGAAGCCCCGGCUAACUACGUGCCAGCAGCCGCGGUAAUACGGAGGAUGCGAGCGUUAUCCGGAUUUAUUGGGUUUAAAGGGUGCGUAGGCGGGCUUUUAAGUCAGCGGGAAAAAUUCGGGGCUCAACCCCGUCCGGCCGUUGAAACUGGGGGCCUU